rnacentral:rRNA from 1 species
UACGUAAGGUGCGAGCGUUAAUCGGAAUUACUGGGCGUAAAGCGUGCGCAGGCGGUGAUGUAAGACCGAUGUGAAAUCCCCGGGCUUAACCUGGGAACUGCAUUGGUGACUGCAUUGCUCGAGUAUGGCAGAGGGGGGUGGAAUUCCACGUGUAGCAGUGAAAUGCGUAGAGAUGUGGAGGAACACCGAUGGCGAAGGCAGCCCCCUGGGCCAAUACUGACGCUCAUGCACGAAAGCGUGGGGAGCAAACAGG